rnacentral:lncRNA from 1 species
GCAUUGGUUUUACGACCAUGUAUACUUCAUCUUAACUCACUUUCUAUUUGCCCGUUUUAUUUAGUUAACGACAAUUUCGGUCUGCAUUUUUUCAAAGUGAGCCAUCUUAUUCAACAUGAUAGAUACUGGAUGCGCAGAACAAAUUUAACAUUCCAGAAAAAUUAUGCAACAAAACGGUUAGAAAGGAAUGAUGGAAAGAGUAGAUGAAAAAGAUUAUGUCACGAACUCUUCUAUGUAUUUCUCCAUUGAUCAGGGGAUGCACCGGCGGAUACGCUCCCAUGGGAUGCUCAUUGUUCUCCUACCUUUUUACACCGUUCUCCGAUGCGGCGCCAUAGCAGAGAAAGAGGAACGUCUACAUGGAUGUGGUGCGUCUAAAAGUGCAUGCCCCGUGCCCCUGGGAUAUCAAGUAGAGUACUACCGGUCUCCUCUAGCGUUUACCAUAGAACAAAAUUCCUUGGAUCGACGGAAGAUACAUAGAUAGAUAGCAUACAUAGAGGGAGUUCGCAUAUGCACACGUGACACUUAAGAGAUGAAAAAUCAUUCAAUAUGAUUUACGAUAUUCUAAAAUAACAGACAAAGUGAAAGAAGUUUUUCGAAUAGACAUAGAGAUUUCUAUAAUAUAAUAACAUUACUGAUGAUUCGUUUGUCAUUAAUGCAAAUAAAAUCAGCAUAUGUUUGCUUUCUUGGAUAACAAUGAAGAUAAAUAAUGAUAGAUAAUUUAAUGAUAUGUGUUUCUGGUGAUUAUGGAAUGGUUAUGCAGAUAUGAAACCUAACCAAAUUAAAUAUAGAUAUCCUAAUUGACAAACACAUAUAACAUGAUAUUUGAGAAGCAAUGGUGAUCAUGA